rnacentral:misc_RNA from 1 species
GUAAAGCUUGCCGAGAUAUCACCAACUUUGGAUAUUUGGUCUCUGAGUUGCAUUGUUAUUGAGAUUAUCACAGGAAAGCCACCAUGGCAAAAAUUGGAUGCAGAAGAUAUAUUAGUUCGUUAGGCUUAUGAGGGUAGCUCACUUGAGAUACCAGAAAGCAUGUUAAAGAAAGGGAAAUAUUUCUUAAAAAUGUCUUUCAUGAGACCCCAUUGCGAGAGGUGGACAGCAAAUAUGCUAUUAAAUCAUUCUUUUAUUGUUGAUGAAGAGCUUACUUCACCAUUUGAGAAACAAGAACCCUCACCGCCAAGCCUUAGUGAUGAUAUUGUUAAGUCCAUGUGCGAGCUAAUACUAUCUGAUUCACCUGGACAAAGUCUAUUUUCUUAUGUAGAUAGGCCACUGAGCUUGGGUUCUACAUGUAGACGGCUGAAUUUUGGUUCUAUAGGAAUGGGUUGAAGGAGCGGAAGCGUGA